rnacentral:rRNA from 1 species
UACGUAGGGGGCAAGCGUUGUCCGGAAUCAUUGGGCGUAAAGAGCGUGUAGGCGGCUCGGUAAGUCCGCUGUGAAAGUCCAGGGCUCAACCCUGGAAUGCCGGUGGAAACUGUCGAGCUAGAGUCCGGAAGAGGCGAGUGGAAUUCCUGGUGUAGCGGUGAAAUGCGCAGAUAUCAGGAGGAACACUGGUGGCGAAGGCGGGUCUCUGGGCCGGAACUGACGCUGAGGAGCGAAAGCGUGGGGAGCGAACAGG